AUUGAACGCUGGCGGCAGGCUUAACACAUGCAAGUCGAGCGGGGAAAAGUAGCUCGCUACUGGACCUAGCGGCGGACGGGUGAGUAAUGCUUAGGAAUCUGCCUAUUAGUGGGGGACAACAUCUCGAAAGGGAUGCUAAUACCGCAUACGUCCUACGGGAGAAAGCAGGGGACCUUCGGGCCUUGCGCUAAUAGAUGAGCCUAAGUCGGAUUAGCUAGUUGGUGGGGUAAAGGCCUACCAAGGCGACGAUCUGUAGCGGGUCUGAGAGGAUGAUCCGCCACACUGGGACUGAGACACGGCCCAGACUCCUACGGGAGGCAGCAGUGGGGAAUAUUGGACAAUGGGGGAACCCUGAUCCAGCCAUGCCGCGUGUGUGAAGAAGGCCUUUUGGUUGUAAAGCACUUUAAGCGAGGAGGAGGCUACCGAGAUUAAUACUCUUGGAUAGUGGACGUUACUCGCAGAAUAAGCACCGGCUAACUCUGUGCCAGCAGCCGCCGUAACAC
rnacentral:rRNA from 1 species